rnacentral:rRNA from 1 species
GACGAACGCUGGCGGCGUGCUUAACACAUGCAAGUCGAACGGAAAGGCCCUGCUUUUGUGGGGUGCUCGAGUGGCGAACGGGUGAGUAACACGUGAGUAACCUGCCCUUGACUUUGGGAUAACUUCAGGAAACUGGGGCUAAUACCGGAUAGGAGCUCCUGCUGCAUGGUGGGGGUUGGAAAGUUUCGGCGGUUGGGGAUGGACUCGCGGCUUAUCAGCUUGUUGGUGGGGUAGUGGCUUACCAAGGCUUUGACGGGUAGCCGGCCUGAGAGGGUGACCGGCCACAGUGGGACUGAGAUACGGCACAGACUCCUACGGGAGGAAGCAGUGGGGAAUAUUGCACAAUGGGAGGAAGCCUGAUGCAGAAACGCAGCGUGCGGGAUGACGGCCUUCGGGUUGUAAACCGAUUUCGACUGUGACGAAGCGUGAGUGACGGUAAUGGGUAAAGAAGCACCGGCUAACUACGUG